UACGAAGGUGGCAAGCGUUGUUCGGAUUCACUGGGCGUACAGGGUGUGUAGGCGGUUUGGUAAGCCUUCUGUUAAAGCUUCGGGCCUAACCCGGAAAGCGCAGAGGGUACUGCCAGGCUAGAGGACGGGAGAGGAGCGCGGAAUUCCGGUGUAGCGGUGAAAUGCGUAGAGAUCGGGAGGAAGGCCGGUGGCGAAGGCGGCGCUCUGGAACGUUACUGACGCUGAGACACGAAAGCGUGGGGAGCAACAGGAUUAGAUACCUGACGUCCAGACAA
rnacentral:rRNA from 1 species